GCGGCUAAGAUUUUUGGCCCACUUAGGCCCCUGUAGCGAGGGGGCGGGGCCCAGAAGGGCUCUGGAUGUCUGCGCUGGACAGCGACCCCGAGAAGGACCUGGUCCUUUUGGGACGGACCUGGAGCCUCUUGAAGAACUUGUGGACCCUGUUGGUCUGCAGAGUCUGUGGAAAACAGAUGACUGGAUUUGCUGGUGGACUGUGAGGGCAAGACGAAUCAAGGUUCUCUCCUGUAUUUCUGGUCUGUUCGACUUAAUGACUUGAUGGGUUCAGCAAGUAUGCAUUGGGUAUCCAGGGAGGACUGAUGGCAGUGCUGGCCUCGUGGGAAAGACCAAGAAAGCAUGAUGAGGAAAUUGAGGCACAGAGAGGUUAAAUUGAUCAAACUCUCGCACCAGUAAAGGUCAGAUUACAGGCUAACCUGAUUGAGCUGCCUUUUAUCCCUUAUUUGGGUUGUUGCUAAGGAAAUUGAGAGGGAAAAAAAAUAUACUGAAGCUGGGUGUGGUGGCCC